CACUCUUGUUACUUUUCAGAUCGUAUAAGUCUUUCGUCUUUCACUAAAGAUUUCCAUGGAGAGGAACAACAGGAGUUUACCUGAAUUUUUGCUUAGGUUAAGCAUAACAUG
rnacentral:snRNA from 1 species